rnacentral:rRNA from 1 species
UAAUACGUAGGGGGCGAGCGUUGUCCGGAUUUAUUGGGCGUAAAAGGCUUGUAGGUGGCCAUGCGAAGUCGGAUGUGAAAUCUCCCGGCUCAACUGGGAGGGGUCAUUCGAUACUGGCAGGCUCGAGGCCGGUAGGGGGUAGCGGAAUUCCCGGUGUAGUGGUGGAAUGCGUAGAUAUCGGGAGGAACACCAGUGGCGAAGGCGGCUACCUGGACCGGUUCUGACACUGAGGAGCGAAAGCGUGGGGAGCGAUCCGGAUUAGAUACCCGGGUAGUCCACGCCGUAAACGUUGGGCACUAGAUGUCGGGGGUAUCGACCCCUCCGGUGUCGCAGCUAACGCAUUAAGUGCCCUGCCUGGGGAGUACGGCCGCAAGGCUA